AUUGAACGCUGGCGGCAGGCCUAACACAUGCAAGUCGAACGGUAACAGGAAACAGCUUGCUGUUUCGCUGACGAGUGGCGGACGGGUGAGUAAUGUCUGGGAAACUGCCUGAUGGAGGGGGAUAACUACUGGAAACGGUAGCUAAUACCGCAUAACGUCGCAAGACCAAAGAGGGGGACCUUCGGGCCUCUUGCCAUCGGAUGUGCCCAGAUGGGAUUAGCUAGUAGGUGGGGUAACGGCUCACCUAGGCGACGAUCCCUAGCUGGUCUGAGAGGAUGACCAGCCACACUGAAGCUGACACACGGUCCAGACUCCUACGGGAGGCAGCAGUGGGGAAUAUUGCACAAUGGGCGCAAGCCUGAUGCAGCCAUGGCGCGUGUAUGAAGAAGGCCUUCGGGUGGUAAAGUACUUUCAGCGGGGAGGAAGGGAGUAAAGUUAAUACCUUUACUCAUUGACGUUACCCGCAGAAGAAGCACCGGCUAACUCCGU
rnacentral:rRNA from 1 species